AGAGUUUGAUUAUGGCUCAGGAUGAACGCUGGCGGCGUGCUUAACACAUGCAAGUCGAACGAAGCAGCUUCUGCUUGCAAGAAAGCUGACUUAGUGGCGGACGGGUGAGUAACGCGUGGGUAACCUGCCUCAUACAGGGGGAUAACAGUUGGAAACGACUGCUAAGACCGCAUAACCCGCUAGUGUCGCAUGACACGGACGGAAAAUAUUUAUAGGUAUGAGAUGGGCCCGCGUCUGAUUAGCUAGUUGGUAAGGUAACGGCUUACCAAGGCGACGAUCGGUAGCCGACUUGAGAGAGUGAUCGGCCACAUUGGGACUGAGACACGGCCCAAACUCCUACGGGAGGCAGCAGUGGGGAAUAUUGGACAAUGGGGGAAACCCUGAUCCAAGCGACGCCGCGUGAGUGAAGAAGUAUUUCGGUAUGUAAAGCUCUAUCAGCAGGGAAGAUAAUGACAGUACCUGACUAAGAAGCCCCGGCUAACUACGUGCCAGCAGCCGC
rnacentral:rRNA from 1 species